AUACGGAGGGUGCAAGCGUUGUUCGGAAUCAUUGGGCUUAAAGAGCUCGUAGGCGGAUAGUUAAGCAUCUUGUGAAAUCCCACGGCUUAACCGUGGAACUGCUCGAUGAACUGGCUAUCUUGAGGCAAGUAGAAGUACGUGGAACUUCAGGUGGAGCGGUGAAAUGCGUAGAUAUCUGAAGGAACGCCAGUGGUGAAAACGGCGUACUGGGCUUGUUCUGACGCUGAGGAGCGAAAGCGUGGGUAGCGAACGGAAUUAGAAACCCCAGUAGUCC
rnacentral:rRNA from 1 species